ACCAAGGUACCAUUCAUUAGCCUUCCUGAUUCCCUGCUGUGUGCGCUAGCUUUGUUGGGGGGGCGGGGGCACGUGUGCUUGAAACACACAAAGCUCCCUGUGUGUUGUAGCUAACCUCGGGAGGCAUAAUGCAAGCCUGUCCUCCUUUUACGGUCCGUUUCCCACCCUGGCUGCAGCGUGGUUUGGCUUUAGGGACCCAUGCUGUGAUGGCGUGCGCAGUGAGUGAGGAAUAACUUUCCUGAACUGGUUGCUGUGUCGGCCAUGGUGCACCAGCAGCACCCAGUGGACGCAGGCGGCAUGGUAAGGGAGAACCGGCCAAAGCCCAGGAGGACACUGUGUUGUUGCAGGCUGCAACAAUACAAGUCAACGUCUGAUGGAAGUUCAGGCUUUCUGCCCCAAAGGUACCAGGGAUAGAGUGCCUGCCACUGCUGGUACGUGGGAUGCAACUCGGCCGGGUCGGUGGGGGUGGUUUGAAACGAGCUUGACGUUAUUCCUCUCUCUCGGAAGCCUCCACAUGCCCACUUUUCCUGACAGUGGUCCGCAGUGGGUGCUGGGUUAAUGCUACGGAGAGUUGUGUUCAAAACCGGCCACCGCUAGUUUAAAUGCAAUUCAUAAAUCAGCAGCAUAAAGCUGAUCGUCGUGAUGGUUGUUUUAAAAAAGAAAUCCACCUGCUUCCCGAGAGAGAAAAGUCCCAGCCUAUGCAAUCUCUCCUUUUAUAACUAGAACCUUCCAGUCCAGGUACCAUCCUGGGAAAUCUUUCCUGCGCUCUCUCUAGUUUAACACAAUACGUUCUAUGGUAGGGCAGCCAUCACUGCACUGAGUACUCCAAAUGUGGCCUCACCAACGUCUCGUACAGCCGCAACAAGAUGCCCCAACUCCUGUACUCAACGCUCUGACCGCUGAAAGCUAGCACACCAAACACCGCCUCCUUCACCCUCUCUACCUGUGACUUCGCUUUCAGGGAGCUAUGAACCUGUAUCCCGAGAUAUCUUUGUUCGGCAACGCUGCCCAGGGCCCAGCAACGAUUUGUCUCUCUCCAACAAUAAACAGUCUCCACUCAAUCACUUCGUUGAGAGCUUUCGUGAUUGUGAGCUCUCCUAUUAGCCCGGCCUGAGGCAUUCUCCUGCUCUAAGGAGAAUAGUUCUGGCUUUGCCAGUUUCUCCACCCGACUGAGCUUCCCUGUCGCUGUGACCAUUACCGUUCAAUCUUUUUCCGCACGAGGAUGUGACUCGCUAAAUGUGCCAGGUCUGGGCAUUGGGCGUGAGAAAGCGCGGAGGAGCAGGGUCUUUGUAAAGUUGUAAUGUUUUCACAGAAUCCAGUGCUACCUCCGACAAUCACCGAUCAGAUCAGACUGUGGGAGAUGGAGAGAGACCGAUUGAGGUUCACUGAAGGUGUCCUAUACAACCAGUUCCUUUCCCAAGUGGAUUUUGAGCUCCUCCGGAACUACGCCCGGGAUCUGGGUGUCCUGGUUUGGGAAAAUCCCACCAAGAGGCUGAUGGUGGUUACCCCCGGGGGACACCCUGACGUCAGGCGGUUCUGGAAGCGGCAGAAACACAGCUGAGCGGCCGGGAGGUUCCUCGCCGAGGAUCGCCACUCCCAGAAAUAAUCCGGGAUCGGGGAGAGAGAGAGAGCGCACCGUAGAGAGACUGAACCGCAUCAGCACCACAUUCCUGUUUUCUACGUGUCGUUGGCUGUUUGUUUCUCAAUAAUAAUUAAAAAAAAAAGAGACAGAGGAGAAGCAAACAAGGAAAUUUGUUAUUAAAUCACACUCGGUAUGGCACAAACUUCCCCCGCAAGCCCCAGGACUGCACCUCUGCUGUAUAAAAGCGGGAAAUGCUGGAAUUACUCAGGCCUAGUGCUGUCAUCUGCAGGACUGUUAACGAGGGGAUGUUCUGGGGACUCGAGUUUAAAUCCUGCCACAGCAGCUGGUGGAAUCAGCAUUCAAUAAAGAAUCUGGAAUUAAGGCACUAAUGGCAACCGUGGAUACAUUGUCGGGAAAAAAAAACCCAUCUGGUUCACUAAUGUUCUUUAGGGAAGGAAACUGCCGUCCUUCCCUGGUCUGGCCAACAUGUGACUCCAGACCCACAGCAAUGUGGUCAGCUCGUACUCUCUGAUCAAUAAAUGCUGGUCUAGCUAGUGACGUCCAUGCGCCAUCAGUACUUUUUUUAAAAUUAAUCCAUCUGGUUAGAGACAGGGAGGGGACUGAAGUUAACGUUUCAGGUCUGUCACCCCUCAGGAGUACCGGGAAGUACUAGGGAUGUAAAUAGGUCUUGAGGCAGGGCUGGGAGCAGGGACAGGGACCAGCAGAGAAGGUAGGGUGAGCGACAGGACAGAUUUGAGAUUUCAAGACUUGUAUCAUCCACAAAUUGUGCCUCGAAUCCUUGUCAUUCAUCUGUAAAAAGCAGGGGUGCUGACACACUUACCCUGGGAAACUGUGCUCCAAACCUCCCCCCAGCUAAAAGCAAGCAUCCAUUAACCACACAAGAUUGCUACAGUGCAGGAGCAGGCUAUUCGGCCCAUUGUGUUUACACCAGCUCUUCCAACAAGCGUUGUUACCUCCUGCUUUCUUUCCACAUUAUAUCAACCUGAACAAUCAACCCCGUACCUUGUUGAAUGUCUCCACCACACUUCCAGCCAGUGCAUUCUACACCCUAACCACUCGCUGUGUGAAAAGAUUUCCUUUUCUUCACACCUCAUGUUUGCUUCUUUUGCAAAUCGGUUUUCAUCUGUGCCCUCUCAUUCUUGAUCCUUUUGGGAACGGUUUCUCUAUACCAAACCCGUUCACGGUUUUGAAAAUCUCCGUCAGAUCUUCCUUCAGCUGCCUUGUCUCCGAGGAAAACGGUCUCGACGCACACCUGAAGUUUCCCAUCCCUCAAAUCGUUCUUGCAAAUCCCUUCCAAACUCCUCUGAUGCAUUCACAUCCUUCCUAUCAUGUAGCACUGAACUAUAGCAAGCGUUCAACACCAUCUCUCUCUGAUCUUGUACUCCAAGCCCCUAUUAAUAAAGCCAAGGGUAUUGUAUGUUUUACUGGUUGCUGUCUGAACCUCUACUGCCACCCUAACUGAUCUGUACGUUUAUACAUCCAGGUCCCUCUGCUCUUCCACCAACUUUAGAAUUGUACCUCUAUUCAUAGAAUCCCUACAGUGUGGAAACAGGCCCUUAGGGCCCAACAAGUCCACACCGACCCAUCCCCCUGUAACCCACCUAAUCUACACAUCCCUGGACACUACGGGCAAUUUUAAGCAUAGCCAAUCCACCUAACCUGCACAUCUUUGGACUGUGGGAGGAAACCGGAGCACCCAGAGGAAACCCACACAGAUGCGGGGAGAAUGUGCAAACUCCACACAGACAGUCACCCGAGGGUGGAAUCGAACCCGGAUCCCUUGCGCUGUGAGGUACCAGUGCUAACUGCUGAGCCACCAUGCCGCCCUAAGAGAGGUAUUUUAAAUGGCCUUUUGAAGUUCUUCCCACCAAAACAGUGGUUAGCACCGCUGCCUCUCAGCGCCAGGGACCUGGGUUCGAUUCCACCUUCAGGCAACUCUCUGUGUGGAGUUUGCACAUUCUACCCCGUGUCUGUGUGGGUUUCCUCCCACAGUCCAAAGAUGUGUGGGUUAGGUGAAUGGGCCAUACUAAAUUCUCCCCAUAGUGGACAGGGAUGUGCAGGCCAAGGUGGGUUAGUUAUGGGAAAUGUAGGGUUAUGGGGGUGGGAAGGCAGGAUCUGGUUGGAAUGCUCCUCAGAGGGUCAGUUUGGACGCAAUGGGCUGAAUGGCCUGCUUCUGCAGGGAUUCUGUGCUAAAAUGCACUACCUCUCACUUCUCUACAUUGAACCAUAUCUGCCACCUGACCCACCAUAACCAACUUAUUUAUGUCCUUCCAGAGUUCCACACUGUCCUCCUCAUAGUUUACAAAAUUUCAAGUUAUUUGAAAUUUCCCCCUGCGCACCGAGAUCCAGUUCUUUGAUAUAUAUCAGGAAAAGCAAGGAUCCCAACACAGACCCCUGCCAAAGUCCCAGAAAUAAUGUCUCCAUUGAUCAUUCCUGUCACUCGGCCAAUUUUGUAGCUGUGUAGCUCUUGACCUUUUUAUCCAUUGCCCUACAACUUUCCUCACAAGUCUGUUAUGUGUGAAACGCCGUAGGGAAACAAAACAAAACAAAGAACUGUAGGUGUUGGAGUUCUGAAAUAAACAAUUGCUGGAGAAACUCAGAAGGUCUAGCAGCAUCUGUGGAGAGAAAACAAGAGUUAACAUUUCGAGUCCACUGACCCUUCAGAACUGAUAGCAGCUGGGAAAAGUUAGUAUUUAUGCUGAUAGUGGGGAGUGAAUUAGUGGAGAUGGAGUCCAGAGAUAAAGAAAGGCAAGCAAAGGGAUUGUUGAUGGUAAGCCAGGGAAGCAUUACUAGCCUCGAAUUUAUCAUGGCGUGUACUCAAGUACAGGAGUACAAUGACAAGUGUAUGAAGUCGCCAUUCUCCAUGGCCAUCUUGGUUUUAAAACCACAAUCUCAAAACAAAAAGCAGAAAUAAAAGAAAGCCGAAAGGCAAGAGAAA